GAUGAACGCUAGCGACAGGCUUAACACAUGCAAGUCGAGGGGCAGCGGGGAGGUAGCAAUACUUCCGCCGGCGACCGGCGCACGGGUGAGUAACACGUAUGGAACCUGCCCGUAGCAGGGGGAUAAGCGGAAGAAAUUCCGUCUAAUACCGCGUAAUAAUUCCGAGAGGCAUCUCAUGGGGUUUAAAGGGUAAUACCGACUACGGAUGGCCAUGCGGCGCAUUAGCUAGUUGGCGGGGUAACGGCCCACCAAGGCGACGAUGCGUAGGGGUUCUGAGAGGAAGGUCCCCCACACUGGUACUGAGACACGGACCAGACUCCUACGGGAGGCAGCAGUGAGGAAUAUUGGUCAAUGGGCGCGAGCCUGAACCAGCCAAGUCGCGUGAGGGAAGACGGUCCUAUGGAUUGUAAACCUCUUUUGUCGGGGAGCAAAAGACGUCACGUGUGGCGUUCCGAGAGUACCCGAAGAAAAAGCAUCGGCUAACUCCGUGCCAGCAGCCGCGGUAAUACGGAGGAUGCGAGCGUUAUCCGGAUUUAUUGGGUUUAAAGGGUGCGCAGGCGGAAGAUCAAGUCAGCGGUAAAAUUGAGAGGCUCAACCUCUUCGAGCCGUUGAAACUGGUUUUCUUGAGUGAGCGAGAAGUAUGCGGAAUGCGUGGUGUAGCGGUGAAAUGCAUAGAUAUCACGCAGAACUCCGAUUGCGAAGGCAGCAUACCGGCGCUCAACUGACGCUCAUGCACGAAAGUGUGGGUAUCGAAUAGGAUUAGAUACCCUGGUAGUCCACACAGUAAACGAUGAAUACUAAUUGUUCGGGGAGAAUGAUCCCUGAGUGAUACAGCGAAAGCGUUAAGUAUUCCACCUGGGGAGUACGCCGGCAACGGUGAAACUCAAAGGAAUUGACGGGGGCCCGCACAAGCGGAGGAACAUGUGGUUUAAUUCGAUGAUACGCGAGGAACCUUACCCGGGCUCAAACGACACAGGAAUACUUUUGAAAGGAGGUAGCUCUUAGGAGCCUGUGUCGAGGUGCUGCAUGGUUGUCGUCAGCUCGUGCCGUGAGGUGUCGGCUUAAGUGCCAUAACGAGCGCAACCCCCAUCGCCAGUUACCAGCAAGUCAAGUUGGGGACUCUGGCGAGACUGCCGGCGCAAGCUGUGAGGAAGGCGGGGAUGACGUCAAAUCAGCACGGCCGUUACGUCCGGGGCGACACAGGUGUUACAAUGGCAGGUACAGAGAGAAGCAAUGCGGCGACGCAAAGCGGAACUUGAAAGCCUGUCUCAGUUCGGAUUGGAGUCUGCAACUCGACUCCAUGAAGCUGGAUUCGCUAGUAAUCGCGCAUCAGCCAUGGCGCGGUGAAUACGUUCCCGGGCCUUGUACACACCGCCCGUCAAGCCAUGGAAGCCGGGAGUGCCUGAAGUGUGCAACCGCAAGGAGCGCCCUAAGGUAAAACUGGUGACUGGGGCUAA
rnacentral:rRNA from 1 species